rnacentral:rRNA from 1 species
AUUGAACGCUGGCGGCAGGCCUAACACAUGCAAGUCGAACGAGUGGCGGACUGGUGAGUAAUGUCUGGGAAACUGCCUGAUGGAGGGGGAUAACUACUGGAAACGGUAGCUAAUACCGCAUACCAUCAGAUGUGCCCAGAUGGGAUUAGCUAGUCGGUGGGGUAACGGCUCACCUAGGCGCCGAUCCCUAGCUGGUCUGCGGUGAUGACCAGCCACACUGGAACUGAGACACGGUCCAGACUCCUACGGGAGGCAGCAGUGGGGAAUAUUGCACAAUGGGCGCAAGCCUGAUGCAGCCAUGCCGCGUGUGUGAAGAAGGCCUUCGGGUUGUAAAGCACUUUCAGCGGGGAGGCGUUACCCGCAGAAGAAGCACCGGCUAACUCCGUGCCAGCCGCCGCGGUAAUAC